rnacentral:rRNA from 1 species
UACGGAGGGUGCAAGCGUUGUCCGGAAUUAUUGGGCGUAAAGAGCUCGUAGGCGGUCUGUCGCGUCUGCUGUGAAAACCUAGGGCUUAACUCUGGGCGUGCAGUGGGUACGGGCAGGCUAGAGUGCGGUAGGGGAGACUGGAAUUCCUGGUGUAGCGGUGAAAUGCGCAGAUAUCAGGAGGAACACCGGUGGCGAAGGCGGGUCUCUGGGCCGAUACUGACGCUGAGGAGCGAAAGCAUGGGGAGCGAACAGG